rnacentral:rRNA from 1 species
GGUGAACGCUGGCGGUAGGCCUAACACAUGCAAGUCGAACGGCAGCACAGGAGAGCUUGCUCUCUGGGUGGCGAGUGGCGGACGGGUGAGGAAUACAUCGGAAUCUACCUUUUCGUGGGGGAUAACGUAGGGAAACUUACGCUAAUACCGCAUACGACCUACGGGUGAAAGUGGGGACCGCAAGGCCUCACGCGACUAGA